rnacentral:rRNA from 1 species
AUUGAACGCUGGCGGCAGGCCUAACACAUGCAAGUCGAGCGGAUGAAGGGAGCUUGCUCCUGGAUUCAGCGGCGGACGGGUGAGUAAUGCCUAGGAAUCUGCCUGGUCGUGGGGGAUAACGUCCGGAAACGGGCGCUAAUACCGCAUACGUCCUGAGGGAGAAAGUGGGGGAUCUUCGGACCUCACGCUAUCAGAUGAGCCUAGGUCGGAUUAGCUAGUUGGUGGGGUAAAGGCCUACCAAGGCGACGAUCCGUAACUGGUCUGAGAGGAUGAUCAGUCACACUGGAACUGAGACACGGUCCAGACUCCUACGGGAGGCAGCAGUGGGGAAUAUUGGACAAUAGGCGAAAGCCUGAUCCAGCCAUGCCGCGUGUGUGAAGAAGGUCUUCGGAUUGUAAAGCACUUUAAGUUGGGAGGAAGGGCAGUAAGUUAAUACCUUGCUGUUUUGACGUUACCAACAGAAUAAGCACCGGCUAACUUCGUG